rnacentral:rRNA from 1 species
UACGUAGGGGCGAGCGUUGUCCGGAAUUAUUGGGCGUAAAGGGUACGCAGGCGGUUCUUUAAGUCUGAUGUGAAAUCUCACAGCUUAACUGUGAGCGGUCAUUGGAAACUGAGGAACUUGAGUAUAGAAGAGGAAAGUGGAAUUCCAUGUGUAGCGGUGAAAUGCGUAGAUAUAUGGAGGAACACCAGUGGCGAAGGCGACUUUCUGGUCUAUUAUUGACGCUGAGGCUCGAAAGCAUGGGUAGCAAACAGGAUUAGAUACCCG